UAGGAUGUAGCUCAGUGGUAGGACACUUGCCUAGCAUGUAUGAGGCCCUGGGUUCAAUUCCCAGCACUAG
rnacentral:tRNA from 1 species